GACGAACGCUGGCGGCGUGCCUAAUACAUGCAAGUCGAACGCAGUGGGGACGGGUGAGUAACACGUGGGUAACCUCCCAUCAGAGGGGAUAACACUUGGAAACAGGUGCUAAACCGAUACUGAUUGAUGGACCCGCUGUGCAUUAGCUAGUUGGUGAGGUAACGGCUCACCAAGGCCACGAUGCAUAGCCGACCUGAGAGGGUGAUCGGCGACACUGGGACGGAGACACGGCCCAGACACCUACGUGAGGCAGCAGUAGGGAAUCUUCGGCAAUGGACGAAAGUCUGACCGAGCAAGGCCGCGUGAGUGAAGAAGGUUUUCGGAUCGUAAAUCUCUGUUGUUAGAGAGGCGGUAUCUAACCAGAAAGCAACGGCUAACUACGUGCCAGCAACCGCGGUAAUAA
rnacentral:rRNA from 1 species